UAUACGCCCGUAUAAAAUACGGGACGUAUUAUGUGAAACCCCUUGGCGGCGGGCGGCGGGCGGCGGGCGGCGGGCGGAAGGCAUCACUUUGUCCGGACUCUAAUUCAAAUUGUAUUCAUCCGAUCUUCACCAAACUUGGUCAGCAGUUGCAUCUAGUUGAUAUCUAGGCCAAGUUCGAAUAUGGGUCAUGCCGGGUCAAAAACUAGGUCAUAGGGUCAAUAAGUGCAUUUUCAAAGGGGCCACUUUGUCCGGACUCUAUUUCAAAUUGUAUUCAUCCGAUCUUCACCAAACUUGGUCAGCAGUUGCAUCUAGUUGAUAUAUAGGCCAAGUUCGAAUAUGGGUCAUGCCGGGUCAAAAACUAGGUCAUAGGGUCAAUUAGUGCAUUUUCAACGGCGCCACUUUGUCCGGACUCUAAUUCAAAUUGUAUUCAUCCGAUCUUCACCAAACUUGGUCAGAAGUUGUAUCUAGACAAUAUCUAGGUCAAGUUCGAAUAUGGGUCAUGCCGGGUCAAAAACUAGGUCAUAGGGUCAAUUAGUGCAUUUUCAACGGCGCCACUUUGUCCGGACUCUAAUUCAAAUUGUAUUCAUCCGAUCUUCACCAAACUUGGUCAGAAGUUGUAUCUAGACAAUAUCUAGGUCAAGUUCGAAUAUGGGUCAUGCCGGGUCAAAAACUAGGUCACAGGGUCACUUAGUGUAUUUCAAGCAUUUAGCAUGGUGUCCGCUCUCUAAUUGAAGUAGUUUUCAUCCGAUCUUCACCAAACUUGGUCAGAAGUUGUAUCUAGACAAUGUUUAGGUCAAGUUCAAAUAUGGGUCAUGCCGGGUCAAAAACUAGGUCACAGGGUCACUUAAACCAUUUCAAGCAUUUAGCAUGGUGUCCGCUCUCUAAUUGAAGUAGUUAUCAUCCGAUCUUCACCAAAUUUGGUCAGAAGUUGUGUCUAGACAAUAUCUACAUGUAGGUCAAG